GGUAGCGUGGCCGAGUGGUCUAAGGCGCUGGUUUUAGGCACCAGUCUCUAGGGGCGUGGGUUCGAAUCCCACCGCUGCCA
rnacentral:tRNA from 1 species